CCUACGGGAGGCAGCAGUGAGGAAUAUUGGUCAAUGGACGAGAGUCUGAACCAGCCAAGUAGCGUGAAGGAUGACUGCCCUAUGGGUUGUAAACUUCUUUUAUAAAGGAAUAAAACGAGGCACGUGUGCCUUUUUGCAUGUACUUUAUGAAUAAGGAUCGGCUAACUCCGUGCCAGCAGCCGCGGUAAUACGGAGGAUCCGAGCGUUAUCCGGAUUUAUUGGGUUUAAAGGGAGCGUAGAUGGGUUGAUAAGUCAGAGGUGAAAGUUCGCGGCUCAACCGUAAAAUUGCAAUUGAUACUGGCAGUCUUGAGUACAGUUGAGGUAGGCGGAAUGCGUGGUGUAGCGGUGAAAUGCUUAGAGAUCACAAAGAACCCCGAUUGCGAAGGCAGCUUACUAAACUGUGACUGACAUUGAUGCUCGAAAGUGUGGGGAUCAAACAGGAUUAGAUACCCUAGUAGUC
rnacentral:rRNA from 1 species